GCUAAAUAAUUCAAUAACGAAAUGUCAAUUUCAGAUCUAAUUAUGAAAAAUAUUGUGUAUUUGAUGUACACUCCCGUCCGUAAAACAGGAAACACUUGCUAAUUUACAUCGUGAGAUGAAAAACAACCAUAACCGUGUGAUAAAGAAUGGCUUUGAAAAACUUGAUAAACUAAGAAUUCUGUAAUUUAUGGACGGUAGCGUAACGAUACCUUUACAAAGAGACAUGCAAAAUCUUGCAGCCGCAAAAGACAGAGUUAAAAAUGUUUUCUCUUUAACUUUGCUUGAUGUGAGUAACUCUUCGUUGGGUAUUCUUACAGCCUGUGUCAAUCUCCUAGCCUCUAUCUAAUUAAUCAAUGGACUAAUCGAUUACUCGGUGAUAAUCAGAAAGGCACUGUGAAACGUUUAGUGAAAUUUUUACAACCUGAGAUAAUUCGGUGGAAGGUUUUGCUUGAGAGAAAAGUGGAAUACACGUUUUCGGACAACCUCCGCCAAUUACAGCCUUUUUGUACAUUUCCAUUGCCAGAGGUAUUAAACUAUUUAUCGGAUUCAUUACGACUGCGACCAUAGCCUAAAGUAAAAAAGGCCAAAGAUAUUCGCCAUAGAAGUCGACAUUGAAAUUGAUGCCUUGCAGAUCGGACCUUAAAAAGGUUUACAGAGCUAAAUUUGGUCGGAAAUAAAAUAGACAAGGCACGGAGAGGAACACAUCAUCGACAUCGCUAUAAAGGAAAUGGUAUGUAGAUGACCAAAGACAAAUAUCCUUGUCCUUGUCUGAAAUCGUCACGAAGAAUGUCGAAAACAACCUGCUCGUAAUUGAUGAAGCUGUGAGGGCGUUAAAAGCCGAGGUCAACUACUACAUAUAAAAAAACAGCGGCCAACCAUCUAGAAAACACGGCGUAGUGCCAUUAUACGAAUCCAUAACGCAUCUUUAUUGUCUCGAUUAUAAGCCUAAAUACCCUAUAAAACAUCCAUUUAUUACUGAAAUAAAAUGCUACAAAAUUUUA